rnacentral:rRNA from 1 species
UACUAGCGGUUCAAGUCGCAGCCAUUUUUAUUGGGUCUAAAACAUCCGUAGCUUGUUUAAUAAGUUUCUUGUGAAAUUUCAUAUCUUAAGUAUGAAGCGGGCAAGAAGUACUAUUAAACUAGAGACUGGAAGACGUAAGAAGUACGUUUGAAGUAACGGUAAAAUGUGUUAAUCUCAGACGGACUCACAAGAGCGAAGGCAUCUUACGAGGACAGUUCUGACAGUAAGGGAUGAAGGCUAGGGGCGCAAAACGGAUUAGAUACCCGUGUAGUCCUAGCAGUAAACACUGCACACUAAACAUUAGUACCUCCUCGAGAGGUAUUGGUGCUGAAGGGAAGCCGAAGAGUGUGCUACCUGGGAAGUAUAGUCGCAAGGCCGAAACUUAAAGGAAUUGGCGGGUGGACACUACAACGGGUGACGCGUGCGGUUCAAUUAGAUUCUACAUCGUGAACCUCACCAGGAGCGACAGCAGAAUGAAGGUCAGUCUGAAGGGCUUACCUGACACGCUGAGAGGAGUUGCAUGGCCGACGUCAGCCUGUGCUGUGAAGUGACCUGUUAAAUCAGGUAACAGGCAAGACCCACAUGUAUAUUUAUAAUUACUAUAUACAGAUCGCCUUGGUAACAAGGAUGAAAGUGUGGGCUACGUCAGGUGAGUACAGCCCGAAUCCCCUGGGCAACACGCGCGCGUCAAUGGUAGAUACAACGAGAUGCAACACUGAAAAGUGAAGCCAAUCCCUUAAAGUCUAUCUCAGUCCAGAUUGAGGUUUGUAACCCAGCCUCAUGACGCUGGAAUCCGUAGUAAUCGUUUGUCAUCAGCGAACGGUGAAUAAGUCAAUGUCCAU